CAGUAGCCGCGGUAAUACAGAGGGUGCGAGCGUUUAUCGGAUUUACUGGGCGUAAAGCGUGCGUAGGCGGCUUUUUAAGUCGGAUGUGAAAUCCCUGAGCUUAACUUAGGAAUUGCAUUCGAUACUGGGAAGCUAGAGUAUGGGAGAGGAUGGUAGAAUUCCAGGUGUAGCGGUGAAAUGCGUAGAGAUCUGGAGGAAUACCGAUGGCGAAGGCAGCCAUCUGGCCUAAUACUGACGCUGAGGUACGAAAGCAUGGGGAGCAAACAGGAUUAGAUACCCCGGUAGUCCCUGUCUCUUAUAC
rnacentral:rRNA from 1 species